AUGAAAGGUGGAUGCAAGCUCCAGCUUGGAGGGAGCCCAGGACACGUGUCCUUGUGCGGAUGGAUCCGGCUGUGCCUGGGGCAGCUGGGAGCACACAGCGUUCAGCACUGCUGUUCCCAAGGGCUCCAGGGGCUGGAACAUCUCAAGAGGAGCACAGCAGCCUCACCCUCAGGGUUUUCCUGGCGUUUGACCAAGUCCCACAAGUACAAGCUAUUCCCAACACAACAAGCACAAGCUGGGUACCGCUGGCUUCCCUCUGCCCUCCCACUCCUGCCGUGGUCUGCUCUGCUUCCCCAAACACAAUUCCUCCAUAGCUGCCUCUGCUAAAGCAACAAUGGAGCCAAGCCCUGAGCACCUGAGAAACCACAAGAGAGCCUCACCAAGGGGGAAAAAAAAAAAAAAAAGAUGUCAUCAGAGCAACUGCUCCAGCCAAAGCACUUGGAUUCUGCAGAGAUGAAGAUGAAGAAGGAAAAAAAAAACACCCCAACCCUGAAUGGCUUUUCAUCAAUGCUACCAACAGCAAGAGAAUUGCUUGCAGCAGUGUCACUCGGAGGAAUUUUGUUAGUCAAGCUUGAACAACAUGUACAAGGCUUUAACAAGGAAUGAAGGACCUUCAUCCUGCUUGUGCUGCUGUCUUCUAUUAACACAUUCUGUCUGCUGAGCUCUGCCCACAGCAAGGCUACAUCUAGACACACCAGCAAGGGCAGCACUGCUGCAAAACUCCCUCUUGUGACAGCAAAACACGUAAGAUGUUACCAAAUCUUCAUUUCAACAGCAGCAGCACCAAGACCAGCGUGUGACAGAAGCUGCACAUCAGUUCUUAAAGGCUGAAUAUUCAUCCCAAAGUGUGCAGACAGCCUGGCAACCUGCCCACGUGUCAGCUAGCUCUGGCUGAGGUGGGAUUUGCAAACUGGGGGGCAAAGUGUGUCUCCAAACCUAAUGUUAAGGACUGAGUUGAUUACAGGCUAUUCAGACCUGGCUCUUAGCACCUGGAGCCUGCACAGCUUCUAAGAAGUCUGACAGAGGGUUGUUUCCUGAAAAUCUGCUAGUCAAGUAUGUUCUGGACAAUUUGCUCCCUUUGAAACAGAUUUCUUUUCUUUUCUUUUUUCAUAACCUCUCUGCAGCCCCUCAUCUCAGCUGGCAGAGCAAACAUCAGACCUGAAGCCCAUCUGCACAGCGAUGUCGAGCAAGUCUCGAGUGUUUGCACAGCCCUGCUCUCAGUGACAUCUUCUGGGAAGCACUCAGGUCCAUCACAGCCUCUCAGAAAGGAACAAAUCACCCCGGGCAGAGGCACAGAAGGAACCAUAAAGUGUCUGCAAGGCAGAGGGAGGCACAAAGACACCGUGUGCCCCAUCUGGUGCAGAACAACAGUUUUAAGGAAAACAACCCAUCAGAGCAGGCUGGGCCUCUGCAAGCAGGCAGUUCCUGCAGUUACUGGAAGAGCUGUCACCACGCCAGGCCACAUCAGCACUGGAUUUAUUGUGCAGCUUUUCUGUCCAGAAAGUGCCUGUGUGGAGCAGAGCAGGCAGGAAGCAGCAGGACAGAGCUGUGCCCGUGUCCCCGGGCUCUGCCCCAAGCAUGCAGCUGCCUGGGAAUCUUCCACACAGGCUCACAAAACACUAAUGGGUAAAAUGAAGCUGCUUUCAAGUGCAGGCAGAACCAAACUCUUUUUCCUUCAGCAAUACAGAAGUCCAGAAUUUUGCCUUGCUGCAGUGUUUUCAAGAAGGGUGAAGCAUCUUCAUUUUUUCCCUCCUGCAGUUUAUUACACCUGGGAUUGCUCCAUACCUGCCUCUGGGAGCCCUGUCAAAGCUGAUUUUAAUUGACUAGAACCACAUAACCACUGAGGUUGGAGAAGACCUCCAAGAUUAUUGAGUCCAACCUUUGAUUUAAUACCACCAUGCUCACUGAACCCUAUAAUGAAGUGCCAGGUCCAUUUGUUUUUUGAACACUUCCAGGGAUGGUGACUCCACCACUGCCCUCAGCCUGUUUCAAUGCUUAACCCCCUCCCUCAGUGAAGAAAUUUUUCCUAAUGUCCAACCUCAACCUCUGCUGGUGAAACUUGAGGCUGUUUGCCAGUGUCCUGUCACUUGUUACCUGGGAGAAGAGGCUGAUUCCCACCUCACCACAACCUUCUCUCAGGUAAAUGCUGGUCUUCAGGUAAAUAAGGUCUUUCCUGAGUCUCCUUUUCAACCCUCAGCCAGUCCUUGUAGAACUGACAUUCCAGACCCUAAACCACCAUGCAAGAUGACUCCAUCUGUCAAGUCCCGAGGACAGGCAAAUAUUCUCAAUCUCCUCUUCAGGGGACAGAAAAUCAGGUAAAAAAAUUAAUUACACCUGUUCCUCAAGUUUCAUCAUCUGCUGACACACAGCUCUGUCUUCAUUUACCCCAAGGACAACAAACCCAACCAGCUGAGACCAGGAAUCCAGCUCCUGAAGAGGGAAAAUCAAGCAAGUGUGGACAUUCUCACGAGGGUAUCUGUCAGCAGCACAGCUAACACACUCCUCUCCAAGAAAAUCCUCAUGGGAAAAGCCCAAGAAACCAGAGAUCCAUCUGUGAAACAAGGAAAGCAUGGACAAUUCACAGCUGUCUCCUCUGGACAAGGCUAAUUCCUGCUGCAGCAUCAUUUCCAUGCAAUUGCAUCCAUGACAUCCACAGAUUUGAAGUUGAGGUCCAACUGCCUGGCUCUGCCUUUACCACCAGCCUUAGGAUGGCUGCAGACCACAGCUUCUCCAUGUGGCUAUCCAGAGAGCAAAUUCUGCCAUUUAAUAUCAUUUGCACUUCUGAAGAAAGCAUCUUUCAAAACUUGUAAUAACUCUCCUAGAACAGCCUAAUGAGAAACACACUGGCACCAGGGCUGUAAACUGUCAUUUCUAAAUUGGAAAACCAAAUGAACUGCAGAUAGAGAGCUAUUGUGCUGCUCCAAGAUGCCUCCUUCUAAUUAGGUGCUGGAAGUUUGAAAACAUUUUCAAAUCUUGGACUGCUCCAUCCUUCCCAGAUUUUAUGAUCGAAGAGCUGAAGGCAAUUUCCUCCUUGAACUGGGAAGAAGAAGAACAGAGCAGUUAGUGUCUUCACAUUUACAAGUAAGAACUUGGGAAAGAGGAAAGAACCAACCCAGAAUUCAGUGACUUAGAUAAAAAACUGUAGAUGGAAGAACAUCUGAUUACACUUAGGUUUCUGCAGUUACAAAUUAAGUCUUCUGUAAUCCUCCAGAGAAAAUUAUGGGAACGACAUGUCAGUGACAUCAAGCUCUAAUCUUACAAGCUUCAUAAUUCCUGUUUUCAUUUGACAUUGAUGGGAUCACUUGAAUGAGUAAAGUUUUGUCUGCAAUUAAAGCACUGCAAGAAUGAAGUUUACAAAGGCUUUGUUUUGCUGUUGAAUAAUUCUAGUGAUUUACAGGUGGUUUAGCUGCAUUUAAACACUUAGUAGGGAACCCUCUCUCUUCUGAUGAUGAAGUGCAGAAUUCCUGCACUUGGAAUGACAUGAGAACUGUCUGUGACUCCAAGUGUCAACUGUGGGCACUUUGUCCCAUUCAUCAGGGAUAAUCACACAGAGCAUGCACUGGGUGUGACUUGGAAAGACUUCCAUGGUGGACUAAUGAUUCUGUACAGGAAAUUCAUUAAAAAAUAAGUCCUACUGCUUCCUUUCCAAGCCCUGCCAUAACAGGAGCCAUGUAAAUGGAUUUUGUUAGAGCUGCACUCACGACAGCUUUACGAUCCAUCUGAAAGGCAGAGCCAGAAUCUGCAGACAAUGGCCUGUGAGAACAUCACAUCUGACAAACUGCUCAACUUACUGUAACUUUUUAAAUCCUUUUUUUUUUUUUUAAAUUUUAAUAAUAAAAUGUGGAGCUGAGGGAAGAUGACAGAGUGACAAGUCUGCAGAAAGGCUCUGUCUGUACCAUGGGAAGGGACUGUGUGAACUUUCUACUUAAUGUCUGGCCAUGGAUCUCAUUUAUGAGCUGCUGCAGACACCCCAUGGCAUGAUGGAGAUGGAGGAGCCACUGAGAAAUUAUCUGUCAACUGAAAAACCAAUUAAUACUAACUGCAGUGAGAAAGAACUGUCUACCCAGACAGAAACUGGGAUUGUGAAGUCAGUUACAGAUGUCUUUAAGGGAUUUUUUUUUUUCUUUGGUCAUUUUCAACUUGAACUUAAGCCACAGCUAUUGGGGAAAAGCUGCUCCAUCUUUUCUUUUUCUGCACCAUCAAUCCCCCAGCGUUUUCACCACCAGCUUAAUGAAUUCCAACUAUCAAGAGAGCUCAUCCGCUCUGUAAUUUGUCUUUUUUUGUUCCCUUCACUAAACAAGCAGGAAAAAUGUUUUUAAUUUGCAAUGCUGAAUAAAUACCUACUGUGUUUGCCAAGACUUUAUUGACAUUCAUGGCUGUCCACAAAGCUGACUGACUUCUCACAGAGCUGGUUUAUCUCCUCAAGUUAAAAAAAAAUAAACCUGCCCUAACAAGAAGAUGUUAAUCUUCCUUAAUAAAAUAAAUGAAAAGCAGCAGUUCAAUAAAUAAUCCUGUGGCUAGUGAAAGCCCUUCAUUCAGGAUAUGGUCCCAGAGCAGAUUUUUGUUGACAGCAAGAUCACACAGCACUGGGACACCCUCCAGUGCUCACUGCUGCCUCUGAUGCUGCAUUUCUUGUCACCUUCAGUACCAAUACAACUGCCUGUGGGCCGUGAAAUUCAAUCAAAUUAUUCUAAUACAAAGGGAAAAAGUGAAGAGUUUCUUUUCUUGACCAGGUUAUUUUCAUCUGGUUUUCCACAGGGUCAGGGAGGAGGUGGCACUGCAUUGCUGCUGAGCUGGGAAUGAAUGGCUGGGAGUGGGCAGAAACUGAUUAAGCUGGCACUAGCAGAAGACAUGAACUGUGGAAUUACACCUUGGAUAGCAUCAAAUCCCAUCUCUCUUGCUCAGCUGGUCAUGAGGAGUUGAGAUGAGUUUCAGCCUGCAAGGAAACACAGUUCUUGAACUUUCACAAGAAAAUCAAUACACUGAACUCUGAGGUUCUUACUCAAGUUUUACUGGAUUCUUACACACGGCUCAACCUUCCCUUGAAUUUUUCCAUUUGAAUUUCUCUCACUGAACAAUUCUGUCAUCUUAAAAUAAGCAAUGUGCAAGAAACAAUCAAAGCCUCCACAGCUGGAAUUUAACAUCAUCAGAAGGUCUGUGGUGGCUUGAUAUAAACAGCAAGAAAAAAAAAAAAAAGCAUUUGGAUCAUUUGGGAGGAAAAUAAUGACAAACCAUUACUGAAAAGAUUCCUACACUGAUAACAGUACUUCACAUUCCUUCCUGUGCUUUGUUUAGCUGCACUGAGAAGUGCUACGAAGUGAAGAGAUCUGGGGAACAAUCCUCUGGAACAGGCAAAGAGCCCUCAAAUGAAGGCAAUUAUUUCCCACUAGUGAAACAUCCAAUUUACCCAUUAUGCAGGCACACCAUGCAUUUAUCUCUGUACUUUCAAAGCUCCUCAAAGCUUUGAGCAGGAAAGGUCUGAUGGCUACAAGGUAUUUGCAACAACUGAUGCCAAGGAGGGACAGGGAUGUGCUGUACCUGGGAAAAAACAGCCUCUACCAUGUAGAGCUUUCUCUGUGUACUUCUGGAACAAUUCAUUACUGACAGGUUUGUCCUCAGAAUCUGGAAGAAGAAAACACCAGAAGUUGUUUGAAUUGUGUUGUUCUGCAAAAAGAUGAAUUAAAACACAACUUGAGAAUCAUUUUUCUUUUCCUGCAGGUUUUACACAGAUUUUAAACCACAUUAUGACUCCUCACAAUCUGGACUUGUUGGAGUGCACUCACAGUCAGAACAGGCAAUCGAGGUGUGCCACUAACCCAUCACUAAAUACAGGCAUCAUGCUCCCUAUGGAAAGAGUAAUUUUGGAUUAGAGCUCACCAAAAAUUCACCAAAAAAAUUGCUGUCUUUGUUUCAUAACAAAAUGUGUGUGUGGGCACUCCUUGUGAGAUGUAUCCAAAAUACAUCCAAAGCUCCUGGUAGAAUCUCUGGAGCUGCAGUCCACUUGUGCACUGACUGUGGUAGUGGUGCCACAGGGAAGCAAUUCUUUGUGGAGGCAGAAUCCAUGAACAGCAGGUGCCAGAGAAUCACCUGCUGCACAGAGCAACAUCCUUGACGUAAAAGUUGUCUCAGAUUUACUCUGAACUCUGUUUUGAAACCUCAUCAGGCUGAUUUGGGGGAUUAGCAGAGAAGGAAAUCCUAAAAAUACAAAAGCAGGCUUAUCAAGCUGGGGGAAAGGCAGUAAGAUGUUUUUGUGACAAAGGCUUCAGGAUAUGAAUUAUGCAUUACCAAAAACUGACUUCAGUCUGGAUGGGAGGAGGGAGAUUUCUGUGCAUCCAAAUCCCAGCACAACAGGCACAGGCUGCUCUGCAAGGAAUUACAUAGAUCCUGCACAAACAUUAUCCAUUUGGGAAUCUCACUCUCUUUUUUCUGCCUAUUAUUUUGUGCUAAUUGUGAGAAUCUGAGGCAGAAAACCACAAAUAACCUGUGAAAUCCUUGGAAUCAGUCUCCAUCCAAUUCAGAGAGGGCUACUGAAACCAUAAGGAAGCUGGAACAGGCUGGCUUCAGCCUCCCUCUAUUUCUGUCCACAUUCCCACCUUGUGCCCAUCACCAUAGCAGCUGACUGCUCCUUCUGCAGAGCACCAACCUUUGGGGCAGCAGAGGCAGGAAAAUAGCUUUUUUCCCCCCAAAUGGAUCACCAUUUGCUGGAUAAAAGCAGCUGAUGUUGUAUUUUAGAAAUUGGACAGGACAGCCAUAAUAAAAAAAUGUAAUUCCCUGUUGA